rnacentral:rRNA from 1 species
CCUACGGGUGGCAGCAGUGAGGAAUAUUGGUCAAUGGACGAGAGUCUGAACCAGCCAAGUAGCGUGAAGGAUGACUGCCCUAUGGGUUGUAAACUUCUUUUAUAAAGGAAUAAAACGAGGCACGUGUGCCUUUUUGCAUGUACUUUAUGAAUAAGGAUCGGCUAAUUCCGUGCCCGCAGCCGCGGUAAUACGGCGGAUCCGAGCGUUAUCCGGAUUUAGUGGGUUUAAAGGGAGCGUAGAUGGGUUGUAAAGUCAGUUGUGAAAGUUUGCGGCUUAACCGUAAAAUUGCAAUUGAUACUGGCAGGCUUGAGUACAGUUGAGGGAGGCGGAAUUCGUGGUGUAGCGGUGAAAUGCUUAGAUAUCACGAAGAACCCCGAUUGAGAAGGCAGCUUACUAAACUGUGACUGACAUUGAUGCUCGAAAGUGUGGGUAUCAAACAGGAUUAGAUACCCGAGUAGUC